GGAAAGUNUGGAGUAAAAGGCUAUGGCUCAACCAUAGUGUGCUCUGGAAACUGUNUGACUUGAGUGCAGAAGGGGAGAGUGGAAUUCCAUGUGUAGCGGUGAAAUGCGUAGAUAUAUGGAGGANCACCAGUGGCGAAAGCGGCUCUCUGGUCUGUCACUGACGCUGAGGCUNGAAAGCGUGGGUAGCGAACAGGAUUAGAUACCCUGGUAGUNCACGCCGUAAACGAUGAGUGCUAGGUGUUAGGCCCUUUCCGGGGCUUAGUGCCGGAGCUAACGCAAUAAGCACUCCGCCUGGGGAGUACGACCGCAAGGUUGAAACUCAAAGGAAUUGACGGGGGCCCGCACAAGCGGUGGAGCAUGUGGUUUAAUUCGAAGCAACGCGAAGAACCUUACCAGGUCUUGACAUCCCGAUGCUAUUCUUAGAGAUAGGAAGUUACUUCGGUACAUCGGAGACAGGUGGUGCAUGGUUGUCGUCAGCUCGUGUCGUGAGAUGUUGGGUUAAGUCCCGCAACGAGCGCAACCCUUAUUGUUAGUUGCCAUCAUUAAGUUGGGCACUCUAGCGAGACUGCCGGUAAUAAACCGGAGGAAGGUGGGGAUGACGUCAAAUCAUCAUGCCCCUUAUGACCUGGGCUACACACGUGCCACAAUGGUCGGUACAACGAGUUGCGAGCCGGUGACGGCAAGCUAAUCUCUGAAAGCCGAUCUCAGUUCGGAUUGGAGGCUGCAACUCGCCUCCAUGAAGUCGGAAUCGCUAGUAAUCGCGGAUCAGCACGCCGCGGUGAAUACGUUCCCGGGCCUUGUACACACCGCCCGUCACACCACGAGAGUUUGUAACACCCGAAGUCGGUGAGGUAACCUUUUAGGGGCCAGCC
rnacentral:rRNA from 1 species